rnacentral:rRNA from 1 species
UAUCGCGACGUAGUUGAUCCGUGCUCAGGACGACGCUGGCGGCGUGCCUAACACAUGCAAGUCGAACGGAGCACUUCGGUGCUUAGUGGCGGACGGGUGAGUAACACGUGAGCAACCUGGCUCUAAGAGGGGGACAACAGUUGGAAACGACUGCUAAUACCGCAUAACAUAUACUUUAGGCAUCUUUAGUAUAUCAAAGAUUUUAUCGCUUAGAGAUGGGCUCGCGUCUGAUUAGAUAGUUGGCGGGGUAACGGCCCACCAAGUCGACGAUCAGUAGCCGGACUGAGAGGUUGAACGGCCACAUUGGGACUGAGACACGGCCCAGACUCCUACGGGAGGCAGCAGUGGGGGGAUAUUGGACAAUGGGGGCAACCCUGAUCCAGCGACGCCGCGUGAGGGAAGAAGGUUUUCGGAUUGUAAACCUCUGUUGACGGAGAAAAAAAUGAUGGUAUCCGUUUAGAAAGCCACGGCUAACUACGUG